UUUCACACGACGCCGUAUUUUCCAUUCGCAUUCCAUCGUUAUUAACAAUCUUCUUCUUCUUCUUCUUCUUCUUCUUCUUCCCCCGUGUACACGAUUUUACACGGACCAAUUCGCGGACAAGGGCAAAGAUUAGAACUUAGAGAUAUAGAGAUAUGAAGGAUACCAAUAGCUAAGAUGUGUAGUUGGAACUUAGUGAAAGCAUCGAGCAGCAGGGGAAGGAGGAACAAUCGUAGGAGGAAAUGGGAAAAUGACGUAUUGUUUGAAAGUUUUGCUUCGUUAUAGGGAUCUGUAAGGAGGGGAGAUGGUGGGAGAGGUGCUCGAGUGAUCGGUCGAACGGCGAGACAGGGAGGGGGGAGGAUGGGAGGGUCGUUGUGGGCGACGAGACGUUGCAGGUGGAGGAUGGAGGAGGGAGGAGGGUGCCGCAUCUGCCUCGAACGUACCUCGGCAGAGGUUGGAGGGAAUUGGGUCAACCAACUUGAAGUGUGCUUCAGGUGUAGCUACCUAUCUGCCCAUCUUCCGACCCAAACCAUUCUUA